CCUCGCAGAUACAAGUGUAUUGGUAUUCACUUCUCUUCGCGUGUAACCGAUGGUUUCAAAGUUUCGCUUGUGACUUUGUCACAAAGCAUUAAUAAGAUCGCCUCCUUGAAUACAACCCUGGACAUAACACACAGAGCAGCAUAAAAGUCGCUCUUUCUCCCGAACAUAACCCUUUCCCAACGGUACCACUCACCCUGCUCACGUUUGUUGACAGCGGUUUGAGCCACGGCAAAAUAACCCUAGCCGAGAGCAGACAUAGGUAGGGCAAGGGGCUAUGAUACACGCAAAGAGAAUAAAUAUACAAAUACGAAAUAAUCGGCUUAGAUCGUAUUUCUUAUGGAAAUUAGAGACGGUUUGAGCUUGGCUUUCUAGCAUCGCAAGUUCUAUUCUGUCCCGACCACAGCCGCGAGCAGUUAGUGCGCGCCGUGUGUAAAGUAUUAAAAUCAAAAAGUUAAAAGUCAUCUCAAAAUCAAUUUUCCUAAAAGUAGUGUUAGUAGUGUAUUAAAAGUUGUAAAUUAAAAGUGGUUAGUAUUGUAAAAAGUUGUCAUAAGAUAAAAUGCCUAAAAUCUAUUGUUAUAUCACUAGGGUAAAGUGCGUUAAAACCAUCCUGUACUACACCAUACUACUAAGGAAAACCAAAUUAUAAGAAAAAGGUAAUUGAGAUAGUUUGUAAAGAAUAAAUCCUACUUGCGGUAAAAUGUGCGGUUUAGUGAAUUGUAAUACUAAUAAUGGUGGAUAGGUCCACAAAGGGCCUUUUUCUUUCACGUA